rnacentral:rRNA from 1 species
AAUGAACGCUGGCGGCAUGCCUAACACAUGCAAGUCGAACGAGACCUUCGGGUCUAGUGGCGCACGGGUGCGUAACGCGUGGGAAUCUGCCCUUGGGUUCGGAAUAACUCGCCGAAAGGCGUGCUAAUACCGGAUGAUGACGUAAGUCCAAAGAUUUAUCGCCCAAGGAUGAGCCCGCGUAGGAUUAGCUAGUUGGUGGGGUAAAGGCCCACCAAGGCGACGAUCCUUAGCUGGUCUGAGAGGAUGAUCAGCCACACUGGGACUGAGACACGGCCCAGACUCCUACGGGAGGCAGCAGUGGGGAAUAUUGGACAAUGGGGGAAAGCCUGAUCCAGCAAUGCCGCGUGAGUGAUGAAGGCCUUAGGGUUGUAAAGCUCCUUUACCCGGGAUGAUAAUGACAGUACCGGGAGAAUAAGCCCCGGCUAACUCCGUGCCAGCAGCCGCCGUAA